UCUAAUUUUAUUCCGCAGACACUGUGUUCUUGACCUUUUGUAAUCCGGAUUUCUUUUUAUCUAUUCAGUAUUCAGUAUUCAGUAUUUGUUCUUGAUUUCGUUUACUGUUGUUCAUCCUGUUAUCAUCCUGCUGUUACACUGUUGUUAUCAUGUUUCCAACCUGUUCAACGUUUAUGCUUUCUACUAUGAUGUCUGAGUAGUGAAUUGGUUUCUGAGGAUGGGCUAGAGUAGUGUAGAAUUCUCAGUAUGCUAGGUGAUUGAGUAUCGAUUGAUAGAUCCCUUCUGGAUUAGUUGUUCUUAAUGCCUAUUGCUUUCUGAUCAACUGGAAUUUAAGCCCAGACAUUUCCGCGCCCAAAAGGUGUUCGACGGAAUGUCUGAACCACUAAUUCCAGAGAUUCAUGGCCCUGUACCAAGGUAUUGGUUGCAGGGAGCGUUUUGGCUUUAACUUGUUGAUUCGUAAUGCCUGUUAGGUUAGCUCUCGUCAAUGGUGAUUGAGUCUGGGACUACGUUAACUUGAGGGUCUCUGUUGCGGUGGCACUUAGAUUUGGUUAAUGAACUUGUUGUCUAGGGAUAAUUUAUUGAGCAUUUUCAAUCACCUGUAAACUGAGGAAACAAAACUACUCAAUUACCCCAUCCUCGGGAAUUCUUUAUCUGAUUGAAUUCUUUGUUUACUCUACUGUUGUUUACUGCAUCUUGUUAUCUGUUGCUUAAUUUCUGCAAUUCUUUCUUGUUACUCGACCUAAUACUCGACCACCUAGUAGUCUGGCAACAGACUGUGCAGUCGAGUAUCUGUGUUUUAUUUUCUGUCUGUUACUCGACCUGUCACUCGACCUCACCCAGUGCUCUACUUAGUGAGCUGUGUUGUCUGGCAACAGACUGUGCAGUCAAAGAGCUGUGUUGGUCGAGUGUUUUACUGUUUCUGCUUGAAUUUCUGUUUUCUGCAUGUUCACUUAGAACUGCUAGAACACACCAAAACCUAUUAUUGUUUGGCUUGACUUAGUGACUUCUGAUCACAUCUUGAUUGUUAGCAUCACACCCAUUUUGAUUGACAACCUUCAGUACUACAACGACAUGAUAGUGCUUUAGGAUUAAUUGAUCUAAAAACUUAUUAUCAAUUUGGCGUCGUUGCCAAUUGGGUGUUUGUUUGUUACAUUUGAGAUUUCAGACUUGUAGAUCAAGUUCUUUUUCAAUUUUCAAUCUGGUUGCUAACUGUGUGUUUUUCUUGUUGUCUUCUUGAUCCAGAUACACCUCUGCUGUAUGCGAACUCGAUCAACAGGCAAUCAAAACCUCCUUUUCAACGACAACAUCGACCGCAUAGCUCGCGAACUCAGAGAAAGGAGAAACACAAUUAACCUUGUACUUCAGCAACCACUCGAAAUGGCUGACAAACAGAAUCAACAAAAUGGCCCUGCCAACAUUGGUGCUUGAGAUGCACCAUGUGAUCACCGUCAGAGGAAAAGAAUUGCACCUCCUGCUAUCCAGAACAACAACUUCGAGAUUAAGAGUGGUCUCAUCUUGAUGAUU
rnacentral:sRNA from 1 species